rnacentral:sRNA from 1 species
UAUUGGAUGGACAAUUGCCUUUUUGAGU